rnacentral:sRNA from 1 species
GAGCCGAGAGCGCUGCCUGGCGCGCGGGCGGCUGGAGGCACGGCGCUGGGCGGCGCCGAGGCCCUGGGGCCGCCGGAGCCAGCGGGAGCCAGUCCCCGUCUUCGCCCCUCGCCCCCCACCGUGUCGCCGGCCUUGGUCCCUGCGGCGCGGACGUCCGGCGCGGGAGAGAAAGCAUGGCCGGACUCCCCUGCAUCUUGCUGCCAAUAAGGGCCAUCUUCCUGUGGUCCAGAUCUUGCUGAAGGCUGGCUGCGACCUUGAUGUCCAGGAUGAUGGGGACCAGACCGCCUUGCACCGGGCCACAGUGGUGGGGAACACGGAGAUCAUCGCGGCGCUCAUCCACGAAGGGUGUGCCCUGGACAGACAAGACAAGGAUGGGAAUACAGCCUUGCAUGAAGCAUCCUGGCAUGGUUUCAGCCAGUCAGCCAAGCUGCUCGUUAAAGCAGGAGCCAACGUGCUUGCCAAGAACAAGGCGGGGAACACAGCUCUGCACCUGGCCUGCCAGAACAGCCACUCCCAGAGCACGCGCGUCCUCCUGCUGGCCGGGUCCCGCGCUGACCUCAAAAAUAAU